UACAGAGGGGGCAAGCGUUGUUCGGAAUUACUGGGCGUAAAGGGCGCGUAGGCGGCCAACUAAGUCAGACGUGAAAUCCCCUGGCUCAACCAGGGAACUGCGUCUGAUACUGGAUGGCUUGAAUCCGGGAGAGGGAUGCGGAAUUCCAGGUGUAGCGGUGAAAUGCGUAGAUAUCUGGAGGAACACCGGUGGCGAAGGCGGCAUCCUGGACCGGCAUUGACGCUGAGGAGCGAAAGCCAGGGGAGCAAACGGG
rnacentral:rRNA from 1 species